ACAUCGCUUCGUUGUAUCAUUGCUAGCUCAUAAGUGAUGGUUGUCGGUUAGAGAAACUCCCAACUGAAUACAGGUGUUAGAGAUCCUCAACAGGCGCAUCGUUGAAGAUCAUUUCUUUUCAGCUAUUUGGUGAGUCCUUCUUGUAUUCGAAGGAACUCCUUAUCCUUUUAUUAUUGUUGAGUGUGAUGUUUCUUUUGAGGUAGCCAUGGACAUGUCAUUGUCACCAUCUAAGAGUAUUAGAGGCUUCAUAGACAGAGUCUGAUGAUGUAAUCGGAGUAGUUCUCCUUAGAAACUACUUCUUAUAAGAAUUAUCUAUUUUUCCUUUGAUUAUGACAAGCCCA